ensembl:lncRNA
UUUUUUUUUUUUUUGCUAUUUCUAUGAGUUGAUUGUAUAUUUUGGAGAUUAAGCCCUUGUUGGUUGCAUCAUUUGCAACUAUUUUCUCAAAUUCCAUAGGUUGUCUUCUACUAUUUUUUUUUUUUAAUGGUUUCCUUUGCUGUGCAAAAACUUGUACAUUUGGUUGGGUCCAAUUGGUUUAUUUUUAUUUUUAUUUUUAUUGCCUUGGGCCACCAACCUAAGAAAACAUUUGUACAGUUGAUUCAGAGAAUGUUUUGCUUAUGCUCUCUUCUAGGAGUUUGAUGGUGUCUUGUCUUAUGUAUAAGUCUUUAAGAGAUUUUAUUUUUGUGCAUGGUGUGAGGGUGUGUUCUAGUUUCACUGAUUUACAUGCAGCUGUCCAGUGUUCCCAGCACCACUACCACACAAUCUUGUCUAUUGUAGCUUUUAGUAUUGUCUGAAGUCUGGGAGUUACGACUUCUGCUUGGUUUUUCUUCCUCAGGAUUGCUUUGGCAACUCCAGGUCUUUUGUGGUUCCAGAUAAAUUUUCAGAUAAUUUGUUCUGGGUCUGUGAAAAAGGUCAUGGGUAAUUUGAUAUGGAUUGCAUUAAAUCUGUAGAUUGUUUUGGGUAGUAUGGUCAUUUUAAUGAUACUAAUUCUUCCAAUCCAGAAAUAUCUUUCCAUUUCUUUGAAUCCUCUUCAAUUUCCUUGAUUAAUGUUUUACAGCUCUCAGCACAUAAGUCUUUCACCUCCUUAGUCAGGUUUAUUCCUAGGUAUUUAAUUUUGGGGUGUGCGAUUUUAAAAAGCAUUGUAUUUUUAUAUUCCUUUUCUAAUAUUUCAUAACAAUAAAUACUCAGUUCUGUUAGUAUACAGAUUUGCAACCGAUUUCUGAAUGUUAAUCUUGUAUUCUGCUACUGUGAUGAAUUCAUUGAUCAGUUUGAAUAGUUUUUGUGUGGAAUCCUUAGGGUUUUCUAUAUGUAGUAUCAUAUCAUUUACAUAUAGUGACAAUUUUACCUCUUGGCUAUCUUUUACUUCUUUUGUUUGUCUGAUUACCGUGGCUAGGACUUCCAACACUAUGCUGAAUGAAAGUGGUGAGAGUGGGCAUCCUUGUCCAGAUUUUAGUGGGAAGGCUUUUAGCUUUUCCCCAUUGAGUAUUAUCUUGGCUGUGGGACUGUCACAAAUGGCUUUAUGUUAAGAUAUGUUCCUUCUCUACCCACUUUGAUAAGAGUAUUUAUCAUAAAUUGAUGUUGGAUUAUGUCAAAUGUUUUAAAAAUCUUUCCUAAUAGAAAAUGCAAACAUUUAAAAGGAAAUGACAGUAGACUGAACCCCAAUAUAUCUGCCUCUCCAGCUUCAUCUUUAAUCAAUUUUUGUUUUAUAUAUACUCUUCCCUCCAUGCUGCAUUUUGAAACAAAACUGAGACAUCACUAUGUCUAUAAUAGUACAGUGUGUAUUGCUAAAAGACUCUAAAAAACAUAAUCGUAGUACUAUUUUAACACUAUAACAAAUACAAAUAAUUUAUCGAUUAAAUCAAAUAUCCAGGCAGUGUUCAAAUUUCCCUAAAAAAGUUUCAGUCUGUUUAAAUAAAGAUUUAAAAAGUGUCCAUACAUGGCAAUUUGUUGAUAUAUCUCAUAAGACUUUUCUACUCCAUAGACUUGUCCUUCCUCCCUCCUUUCCUUCCUCUUUCUCUCCCUCUCCUCACAAUGUAUCUGUUAAAGAAACCAAAUUCUGAAUUUUACUUAUUAUUCCUCCCUUUUGUCAUUUAACACAUUCCUCUACCCCCUGUAUUUCCUAUAAACUGGUAGGUAGGUCUAGAGGCUUCAUCAGAUUCAGGUUCAACUUUGAACAAAGUCUUUCAUGAGUAGUGUGGUGGCUUUUGGAUGAAUUAAUGAAUUCUUUGGCACUCCUCCCAUGCAAACGUAGAGGGGUUUAACUUCCCUCCCGCCGAAGAUCUACUCUCUUUAGUGACUAGCUUCUCACAAAGAAAAUGCUGGGACACAACUUCUGUCUGCUUCUCUGCCUGGACACGUCCAUGGAACUCAGACAUCAUGAUGUUAGGAAGGCAAGCAGCUACAAGCGAGGACACAGGAAGCUGUUCCAGCCACAGCUCCAAAGAAGGUCUCUGCAGAGAGCCAGCUUCAAUAGCCAGGUAGGGAGGGAACAUGCCUUCAGAUGAUUCCAGUCCUUAACUUCCUACCUGGCUUUGCCAACACCAUGUGUAAGAGAGACAAACUGCCUGCUGAGCCCUACCCAAGGUUUAGAUUCAUCAACAAAAUUAAUUCUGUUGUUCUUUCAAGCUUUGGGGUGGUUUACAAUGCAGCAAUAGAGAGUGGGCACAGAUGGUGCUAUGUACUUCCAUCAGGAGGCUUAUAUUUUUAGCUUAUGUCUCUAUUCAUGAUGACCGAUGGUCACUGUCUAGAUGUAUUAAUGCAUUUAGACGGUGUAAAAUGGUAAACUGCAAUUCUAUCAUUUUUCCUUCCGUUAUUAUCCAAAAUACAUAUAUAAAGAAAAAUUUACCCUCAUCAAUUUUUAGUUAUCGUGAAGUACAAAUCACUAUAAUUUUGAAAACCAUUGCUAACUUCCAUUACUCUUCUUCAUGGACCCUUGAGGACAUCUUAACUUAGCAUCGUAAGAUCUAUGAAUGAUAAAUGGCACUAAUUUUGUCACAAAAGUAGUUUAUGACUGGGAGUUCCUGUUGUGGCUCAGGGGGUUAUGAACCCAACUAGUUAGUAUCCAUGAGGACCCAAGUUCAAUCCCUGGCCCUGCUCAGUGAGUUAAGGAUCCAGCGUUGCCAUGAGCUGUGGUGCAGAUUGCAGAGGUGGCUCGGAUCCUGCGUUGCUAUGGCUGUGAUGCAGGCCAGCAGCUACAGCUACAAUCAGGCCCCUAGCCUGGGAACUUCCAUACGCCGCGGGUGUGCCAGGCCCCUCCAAAAAAAGUAGUUUAUGACAACCAGAGCAUUCUAUUAGCCUUUUGCAUAUCUUCUCAUGUGACUGCAGUAUAGGAAUGGGUCAGGGAGUAAGGAUGAAGGACACCUGAACAUCAACUUCAGAGCCUGAAUAACCAGGAACCCAGGGGCCUGAUGGGAUCUAAUGGGAAAGACCUUCAGCAGGAUCAUGGUCUCUCAUAAAACAGAGACAGCAGAGGGAAGCAAGGCAAAUAUCUGGGCUGCCUAUGAUGAAGAGUCCCUCAGACAACAGAGAGACAGUAAGAAUAUUCCGUAAGCAAGAAAAGGGUUAAGCAAAGAGUGAAAUGACAAAGGGCUUUGUCAUGGCAUUACAGUACAUAAUUAGGUAAUUAGAGUAUUAAAGCAGACAAAGCAUUGGGCCCAGAUGAAUUACUGAAGAUACAAGUAUUCAAUAAGAUGCCUCAAGGGUAAAAAUAAAGCCCCUGGUGAAGGUUUACAGCAGGCAGUAGGAAGGAGAAGCACAGAAGGACUUGGAGGAACAAUAACUGAUGCCUUGUCCACACUUCAAGGAUGGAAUUUCACAACAAGCAUUCAUCAAAAGUUUCGAAUGAGCGGAUGAAAAUUCCCUAGAAUACUAUUAAACACCAAAAUAACUGUAAUACCUUACUCUGGUUUAUUGUUUUAUUAAAGAAAAACUGAGAAAAUCAAGCAAAACUCAUAGAGAAACAAUUUGAUAUAGAAUGAAAGGAGGCAAACUGACUCUUUUUAUUCCUACACCCCCUACUUUGGUUGAUGUUUUCACCAUGCACCAAAUCUGCUUCCCCUUCUUUCCAGGCACACAGCUGGACUACACUCUCCAGCUUCCUCUUCAGUUAACCGAGGCCAGGUGAGCACUAGCCCAUGCGGUGAGAGUGGUCGUGACAGGGGACCACCCCAUUCCGCACCCACAUUUCCCCUGCCAGCUGGAUGGAAUGGAAAAGGUCAUCGGGACAUAUGGAUUGCAGUGCUUUGUUUUCUUCUUUUUGAUGGCCCCACCUGUAGCAUAUGGACGUUCCAGGUGAGGGGUCGAAUCCGAGCUACAGUGCAGGCCUAUGCCACAGCAAUGCCAGAUCCCAACUGCAUCUAUGACCUACACUGCAGCUUGCUGCAACCCUGGAUCUUUAAUCCACUGAGCUAGGCCAAGGAUCAAACCUGUAUCCUUGUAGAGACUAUGUCGGGUUCUUCACUUGCUGAGCCACAGUCCGGGAACUCCAGAUUGUGAUGGUUUUAAAAAUACAUCUGCCAAUCUUUAACACACCUCCCUCCCUUCUCGGAUUGUUUACUUUGGGGGAAGACUCCUCUGUAGAAAAAAGAUACUUAAGCAACACCAUGGAGACAUCCACAUGUGGAGAAACCACCAUGGGUUCCUCAGCCUGAAUCAAGCCUCCUCAGCUGACACCUGACUGCAAGCUCAGGAGCGUCUUCUGAGCCAGAACCUUAGCUGCUCCAAAACUCCUUAUAUCCAGCAACUAUGAAAUACAUGAUUAUUGUUCCAAGUCAUUACAUUUUGGUUGGUGGUAUAUAUUAUGUGGCAACAGGUAAACUUACACAGGCUUUGAUACUUGCAAGUGCUGUUAUGAACAUAGGGGUGCAUGUAUCCCUCAAAUUAGAGUUUUGUCUAGUAUAUGCCCAGGAGAGUGGGACUGCUGGAUCAUAUCGCAACUCUGUUUUUAUAUUUUUGAGGAACCCCCAUACUGACUUCCAUAGUGGCUGCACCAAUUUACAUUCCUACCAACAGUGUAGGAGGGAUCCCUUUUCUUCACACUCAAAUAGGCACUAUUUUAUCAAGAUUCUCGGCCUUUAGAAUAGUAGCUGGGUAUAUAGCAAUUUCUCAAGUAGUAUUUUUUUUAUUUUUCUUUUUUCUUUUAACUGACAGAGCAAAACACUUUUUGAAAAGGGGCAUGUGAGCAGAGAGCUGCACAAUAAAGGAACACAGGGGAACUGCUCUCACCGGGAGGAUUUGUUAAAUGAAUAAUUAAAUCUACAAACCUACAAACAAAUGGAAGAUGAAAGUUAAAUCACAAACUAGGGACUGGAGGUGAGAAGGCCAGACCACGGUUUUGCUACCAUUGUUUUUUUGCAAUUAGUGAAGAUAAGAGCAAUAUAUAGCCUUCACAGGCCAUAAACUAGAGGUGAACACUGAUUUUUAAAAGGCAAAGAGAAGUCGGAACUGGUUGUGAUGACAAUGAUAGGAUCCACCCUAAGAAGAUAGGAAAAAAAUCUCCAAGACUCUAACAUGGAAGGUGGGUGUUUGAAAUCACCCUACAGGUGAGAUGAUGAAGCAGAAGGGUUAGGAUGACAGGAAAUAUCCAAAAAAUGCACAGUG